rnacentral:lncRNA from 1 species
CAUGGACAUCUAAAAUUAGCAGAUUUUGGCACGUGUAUGAAGAUGGAUGAAACAGGCAUGGUACAUUGUGAUACAGCAGUUGGAACACCGGAUUAUAUAUCACCUGAGGUUCUGAAAUCACAAGGGGGUGAUGGUUUCUAUGGGCGAGAAUGUGAUUGGUGGUCUGUAGGUGUUUUCCUUUAUGAGAUGCUAGUGGGGGAUACUCCAUUUUAUGCGGAUUCACUUGUAGGAACAUAUAGCAAAAUUAUGGAUCAUAAGAAUUCACUGUGUUUCCCUGAAGAUGCAGAAAUUUCCAAACAUGCAAAGAAUCUCAUCUGUGCUUUCUUAACAGAUAGGGAGGUACGACUUGGGAGAAAUGGGGUGGAAGAAAUCAGACAGCAUCCUUUCUUUAAGAAUGAUCAGUGGCAUUGGGAUAACAUAAGAGAAACGGCAGCUCCUGUAGUACCUGAACUCAGCAGUGACAUAGACAGCAGCAAUUUCGAUGACAUUGAAGAUGACAAAGGAGAUGUAGAAACCUUC